UGACUGAACAGGCGUCUGUGACCUGGCCUC
rnacentral:piRNA from 1 species